UACGGAGGGGGCUAGCGUUGUUCGGAAUUACUGGGCGUAAAGCGUACGUAGGCGGCUUUGUAAGUUAGAGGUGAAAGCCCGGGACUCAACCCCGGAAUUGCCUUUAAGACUGCUAGGCUUGAAUCAUGGAGAGGUGAGUGGAAUUCCGAGUGUAGAGGUGAAAUUCGUAGAUAUUCGGAAGAACACCAGUGGCGAAGGCGACUCACUGGACAUGUAUUGACGCUGAGGUACGAAAGCGUGGGGAGCAAACAGG
rnacentral:rRNA from 1 species